AGAGUUUGAUCCUGGCUCAGGAUGAACGCUGGCGGCGUGCCUAACACAUGCAAGUCGAACGGUCUCCUCGGAGAUAGUGGCGGACGGGUGAGUAACGCGUGAGAAUCUGCCUUUAGGUUCGGGACAACAGUUGGAAACGACUGCUAAUACCGAAUGUGUCGCAAGAUGAAAGAUUAAUUGCCUAAAGAUGAGCUCGCGUCCGAUUAGCUAGUUGGAGUGGUAAAAGCACACCAAGGCGACGAUCGGUAGCUGGUCUGAGAGGAUGACCAGCCACACUGGGACUGAGACACGGCCCAGACUCCUACGGGAGGCAGCAGUGGGGAAUUUUCCGCAAUGGGCGAAAGCCUGACGGAGCAACGCCGCGUGAGGGAGGAAGGCUCUUGGGUUGUAAACCUCUUUUCUCAAGGAAGAUAGUGACGGUACUUGAGGAAUCAGCAUCGGCUAACUCCGUGCCAGCAGCCGCGGUAAUACGGAGGAUGCAAGCGUUAUCCGGAAUAAUUGGGCGUAAAGCGUUCGUAGGUGGUUUUGUAAGUCUGCUGUUAAAGCGUGUAGCUCAACUACAUAUAGGCAGUGGAAACUACAAGACUUGAGUGCGUUCGGGGUAGAGGGAAUUCCUGGUGUAGCGGUGAAAUGCGUAGAGAUCAGGAAGAACACCGGUGGCGAAGGCGCUCUACUAGACCGCAACUGACACUGAGGGACGAAAGCUAGGGGAGCGAAUGGGAUUAGAUACCCCAGUAGUCCUAGCUGUAAACGAUGGAUACUAGGCGUUGUCUGUAUCGACCCGGACAGUGCCGUAGCUAACGCGUUAAGUAUCCCGCCUGGGGAGUACGCACGCAAGUAUGAAACUCAAAGGAAUUGACGGGGGCCCGCACAAGCGGUGGAGUAUGUGGUUUAAUUCGAUGCAACGCGAAGAACCUUACCAAGGCUUGACAUGUCCGGAAGUUCUGGGAAACCAGAAUGUGCCUUCGGGAGCCGGAACACAGGUGGUGCAUGGCUGUCGUCAGCUCGUGUCGUAAGAUGUUGGGUUAAGUCCCGCAACGAGCGCAACCCUCGUCCUUAGUUGCCAUCACUUCGAGUGGGCACUUUGGGGAGACUGCCGGUGACAAACCGGAGGAAGGUGGGGAUGACGUCAAGUCAUCAUGCCCCUUACGUCUUGGGCUACACACGUACUACAAUGCUAUGGACAAAGAGCAGCCAACUAGCGAUAGUGCGCUAAUCUCAUAAACCAUGGCUCAGUUCAGAUUGCAGGCUGCAACUCGCCUGCAUGGAGCAGGAAUCGCUAGUAAUUGCAGGUCAGCAUACUGCAGUGAAUUCGUUCCCGGGCCUUGUACACACCGCCCGUCACACCAUGGAAGUUGGUCACGCCCGAAGUCGUUACCCUAACCUAUUGGAGGGGGACGCUGAAGGUAGGACUGAUGACUGGGGUGAAGCCGUAACAAGGUAGCCGUGCCGGAAGGUGUGGCUGGAUCACCUCCUUUUCAGGGA
rnacentral:rRNA from 1 species